rnacentral:lncRNA from 1 species
GUUAUUGCUGAAACUGUUUCUUGUUACAUGUUAUGUCUUAUGCAUCGCCUAUGCAGAUUUACCCGACAACCCAGUUGAAGCACAAAUAAUAUCGCCGACUAAUUUGCCUCCUCUAGCUCCUGCAACAAAUUAUAUCGCCGACAAAUAUAUGAAUUUAUCAAGGUCCAAUCUUUACCCUUUCGGCUCUCAUGGAUAUUACUGAUCUGAUGAUUCCUUUCUAUUCAUGUUUUAUAAAUAUGUCUGAUCUAUUUGCUGAGGUUUUUAACUUAUUUUUACUUAUUGACACAUUGCUGUUUGGUGCAGCUUUAUAAUUAACAAUAGUUACUUACCUUUAAAUUAUUUUUUGCUUCCCUUAUCCAUUGCUGGUGUUCCAAGUUUAUGUUGUACUACUAUUGCUGCAUUGUUGAAUGGUGUGUAUUCAAUUAGACUAGGUAACUUGGUUUGGUUGUUUGAAAUAUUCCCUUCUCUCUCUCUCUCUCUUUCUGAAUAUUCUGCUCUUUGGAUAAUAACUUUUAUUACACUACAUAACUGUUAGUCAUUUGCAAUUUCCUUGGUAUUUGAUUUUUAUUUUAGGAGUGGAUAUACAAUUUGAGUGGGAGGAAGUUGAAGCCCACGAUAUAAUGAGACCACCGCAUUAUCAGACAGCCCCCACCUCCUAGCAAUGCAUUCCAUUCACAACAGGGUGUUGCAAGUCAAGGAAUGCCUGAGGGAGGUACUAUGACUGCUUCUUGUCCUCCUCCGACUUCAAUUUUUUCUCCAUUAAUUGGCUUGGAAGAGGGACAAGUGGUUUGAAAAAGAUUCUAAAGCACCGGCAAUUUCAGAAAAUGACUUUUCACCGGACCCAAUUUUUGGGGAUGUCUUUUUUGCAACCUAAGUUCAAGGAAAACAAAAUUCCCUGAUUCCUACUUCUUCUGCUAGUGGUGUACCUAUCUCAUCAGCCAUUGUUACUGCCUCUGCUGGACCUCAAACUACAGUCAGGCCAAGUUCGCUUGGGCCUUUGCAACAUGCACUUACUCAGCAAUCUAUUGGCAGUCAGAAUCAGCAAGUUCAGUCAUCAGUUAAAAAGGUUUUUAUCCAGUAUUUUUUUUUAAUAGUCAGCAGUUUAUUUUGACGUCUGACCAAUUUCCUGGAUUAAUGAUGUGUAUAGUCAG